AAAGUAGAUCAAGCGAUCGCUCUCCGCCUCGGGCGGAGAGAGGAAAGUCCGGACUCCACAGGACAGGGUGGCCGCUAACGGCGGCCCCGGGUGAUCGGGGGAAAGUACCACAGAAAACAUACCGCCCCGUGAAAUAAGGUGCCUGGGGCUCCUCUAAAUGCUGAGGAGCAAAUCCAGGUCGGAUUCCCCAGAGCGUUAGGGGAGGAACUUUGUUUCACGGGGUAAGGUUGAAAAGGCGAGGUAAGAGCUCACCGGUCUGCCAGUGAUGGUGGACGCUUGGCAAACCCCACCCGGAGCAAGACCAAAUAGGAGGGUUGGGUGGUCCGCCCGUAACCCUCGGGUAAGGUCGCUCGAUCCCGUGAGCAAUCACGGGGCAAGAUGAAUGAUCGCUGUGAUUCCGUUAUGGGUCACGACAGAAUCCGGCUUAACGAUCCACUUUAGCC
rnacentral:RNase_P_RNA from 1 species